AGAGAGAGACAUGCGCGCAUAUCAAUAAGCGGAGGAAAAGAAACUAACAAGGAUUCCCCUAGUAACGGCGAGUGAAGCGGGAAGAGCUCAAAUUUGAAAUCUUAAAGGGUUUCCCUUUACGAAUUGUAGUUUAAAGAAGUGUUUUCUGUUGAGGUUUUGGUAAAAGUUCUUUGGAAUAGGACAUCAUAGAGGGUGAGAAUCCCGUAUUUGACCUUUACUUUCAACUUUGUGAUACACUUUCAAAGAGUCGGAUUGUUUGGGAAUGCAGUCCAAAAUGGGUGGUAAAUUUCAUCUAAAGCUAAAUAUUGGCGAGAGACCGAUAGCGAACAAGUACCGUGAGGGAAAGAUGAAAAGAACUUUGAAAAGAGAGUUAAACAGUACGUGAAAUUGUCAAAAGGGAAGCAGUUUGACACCAGUGUUGUUUUUCUGAAAAUCAAUUAAAGAACUGUUUAUGCUAAGUUGUCUAGACUUUAUCAGCUAACUGUUUAGUUUUGAGCUUUUCUUUAAUGCACUUUUCAGUUAACAAGUCAACAUCAAUUUCUUUUGCUGUAAAAAAGCUUGAGGAAGGUGGCUUGAGAUUCGUCUUAAGUGUUUAUAGCCUCUUGCCUAUGCAGUCGGAGAGAUUGAGGUCUGCAGCGUAGAUCCUUCGGGGCUAAAUGCAUUUGUGCUAAGUUAUAGCAUUUUAUAGACAACUUGUUGACUAUGAUUUGUCUUGUAGCUUACUCGCUUAUGUUAUUUUACCUACGCUUAGGAUGUUGAGCGCAUGUCUCUCUCU
rnacentral:rRNA from 1 species